AGGUGUUCAAGACAAAGACUGAAGACUUUGCUCUGUUAACAUGAUAUAUAUAGACCUGUAUGCACAGGAUGUGAAGAGCUGAUUACAAGAAACAUGGUCUACAAGUGACAGGUGGGACUGCUCAGGCCACAAUCGCGGGUGUCAGAUGUGUUUUUACUAACGAGACUGUGGAACUGGUAAGCAGAGAGCUUUCCCACCCUUCCCUUCUCCCAAGCAUCCGACAAGCCACGGCUUCAGAGUGACCACACCCUGCUUGUUAUUGUUGAAUUCAAAUAUUAAAGGUCUCUGUCACUGACACUGGACACACUGAUGUUCAGUGAUACAGCUCCUGAAGUAGUAAUGUUCUCAACACUCCUGGAUUCUCUCCAGCUGCUUCAACUCUUCUAUUCCCUACCCCAUUGGCCAUGAUUUUGUUGUUUCUGCCAUCCUUGCUAUUCUUCCGCGUAAUGUGGCACAAACUAGGGAUCCUGUGCUGCUGGGAGUUCUGCCUACUGCUGAAAAUAUGCUCAUCCUCAUCUCCUGUCAGCUCCCCUGCUCUUCUGGUAACAUUAAUCUUUUUCCCUCAGUACAUAUAUAUCUAACAGUGGCCCACAACCUUGGAUGGCAAAACAAUUUUAUGCCAGCUUUUGAUAUUGCUGUUUUGCACAUCUAGGAAUCAUGACAGAUUUGUUUGGAAGGCUCAACUUUUGGAGACAGGAUGUUGGACUUGAUGGAACCAUGGGUUGUAAGGCCAUUCUUAUUUUCUAAGAAAACUAAAUCAUGUGUCACUUUACCUAAAAAAAGUGCAAACACAAAAAUGCUGUAUGAGCACAAGGGCAUUAAUUAAUGGAUACAGCCAGUUAAUGACUGAUAUUUGAUACAUUUUUCAUGCAUCGAUUGUGGAGACAUGAAAUUAGAUCUUCAUGGGUCAAGUGUAUUGCAAAGGAACCUUUUCUUCUGGGCCAGUCACUGGGAAUAAUGCCACAUGUCAUUAAGUGGAAGUGAUAUUUGUAUUAUUUUGCAGGACUGUGACUGUGCUGUUAGGUAUCUUUUAUGGAGAUGCAGCAUUAAAAUAUUGAAUGCUGAAAAACAAUAAAGUUGGAGGAAUACAAUCGCCAAGUAAAACAAAACAGAAUUAAAUGUAAAUUUCCACCGUAGAGCUCCCAUGUGUUGGUAUAUGAGCCUUAGGAGAGGAGUAGGCAGGUUAGGUCUAACAGACUUGUUUUCUUUGGCCUGUAAACAGCUAAUCAUUUUUUAACUUCUUUCUUGUUUCAGGUAUCACAUUCUAUAUGACUGAUCUUUUGUUCCCCUCUUUUAAGUCUUUUCAGUUUCUUUAAUAUACAACAAAGUCUUUUAAUUCAAUAUCAGCUUUUGCUUAGAAUAAGAAGGCAAUCUACUGUGUAGAAUAUUAAAGGGAAGCCAAAUUUUUUUGGUGACAACUCAACACCUAAGGGUUCAGUUCUACCCUACGCUAAUGUUGGUUACCCUAUCCUGUCUCCCUCAAGCCAUAUGGACUUUUGAUUGCAGUGCAACCACAGACUUGCAUAAUAAAUCAGCCACUACAGUAAAACAGCAGUAAUGACACAUUCAGAAGUGUAACUUGUGGCAUCCAGCCAUCAGUUAGGGGUCUAUGGAGAGCUGCAGUACCCCAGGGAAGGAGGGUGGAGCAGACACCAUUUCUUCCAGAACAGUUUCACAAGACUGUUACGCUUGCGCUCUCUGUUUUAAGAUAAGCUGACUGACUGUCAACUUGUUAACUGGCAUGACUGCAAAAACUGAUUUAGAGGCACUCGGCAAAGUGGCUGUUCAGGAGAGAACUUUCACGAUUUACCUCAGGCUGAGAGUACGAGCUCCGGCUCUGACAGACUCUUGCAAAGUCCUCCAAGGUGCUGGACUGUGUUGAGAAGCUGGUUCUCCUUAACCUUUCCCAGCACUGUGUGCAUUUUCCAGCAUGCCGGUCUUCUGAGGGGCUUCAGUGGGAUAAGUCUCCAGUGCCAGCUAUGAAAAGAAGGUGCCAAUCGUUUUACAAUUUGUUUUUCAAAUGACAAUUACCCUUUGAUUCUUUUAAGCCCCGGUUUACUGACUCCUGGCACCUGUGCAGAUUCAGGCUGGAGGCAGGCCACUGUCCUAACAGCAGCACUGCUCACUUGGGAGACCAUUUGUGCAGACCCACAGUAUUAUUUUCCAAAUUUCGUUUCUCAUAGCCACCCACUAAACAAAAAUCAAUACAUCCACACAAAAAUACCCAAUACAUUUGUUUAAUACCUUUACCCCGCCAUCCAGGUUCCAUAUGGUAUUCCAAUGAGUGGUCUGGAUUUGUCGGGUACUACCUAAUUGCUUCACACCUACCACACCUAUAAAAAACAGUAACAUGGCUGUAACUAAGCAUCUCAUACAAGCAGAAUGAUUAAUUCAGACAAAGCACUGUGGAUGUCUAAAAUGCAACCCAAACGCUGUAUUUUCUUUACCGCUAUGUGCCUGUUCUAAAGGCAGAUGCUGAAAUACCUCAGAUAUGUCAUAGCUAAAUAUACUAACACUACUGGACAGUUGCAUAACAGGUCAAGAGAUGCCACAACAUUUCUUGAGAUACAUCAUUAAAUGGUAAGCUUUUAGUCAAUCAUAUCAUGGGAAGGAAUAUGAAUAUGCAGAACGCUUUAAAAAAAAAAUCAGCAUUGCAGUUUUAGGAGAAAUCAACUAAGUUACACAUUUCAUAACUGGAGAACUGUCACGAUUUACAAGUGUACAGUAGAAACCAAGAUAUUUAAGAAUUAAAAGAGCAGUUCAAACUUCUGAAACUAUAUUUAGUGUUCAUAAAACUUGCUACAGUUCAUAGACCUGUUUCUUCCAUCAGUUAAAUUAAUAUUACUUUCAGAGAAUGACUCCCUUUUCUUAGCUUUAAUAACCCUGGUUUUCUACUAACUAAACUUUCAUUGAAACAGAGCAGUCUCUAAAAAGUAGACUGGCACAGAUACUUAUUUGCAUUACAAUUUUCAUUUUCCCACUUUGCUUCUUUACACACAGGCUUCUGUUGAUUCAUUUUUUAUUUCGCUCUUACUUGGCUCUGUCCACAUUUUCAUUGAUUUUUUUUUCUCUUUUUUUGCAAUCUCUCUGAAACGUAAU